AGCGGCUUAAUAUGUGUGCCAGAAAGCUCGGUUAUACAUGACGCUCGAGCAAUGAAGACCAUGACUGGGUGUACAGUGUCCUUCGGCAAAAACUUAUGUGUCAGCGGCGCGUGGAAUUAGCAAGGGACCGAUAAAAUGGGUAGAUCUUACUAGGAACGCCAAUUGCGAAGGCAGGGCGCUGGGGCAACAUGGUCGCUUAAGGACGAAGGGACAGGGAGCAAAAGCCAUUAGAUACGGCUGUAGUCUGUUCUGUCAACGAUGAUCAUUAUCGCUCUGGCUAUGUCAGAGCGUAAGCUAACGCGUAAAUGAUCCACCUCAAUAGUACGAACGCAAGUUUAAAAUUGAAACAAUUUAUGCGCAGCGAACCAACGCAGUGGAUUAUGUUGAUUAAUUCGUAGCUACGCGCUAACCUUACGCAGUUUUGGAUAAUUAUUAACAAUGAUUAAUCUCAUUUAUAUAUAAUUACAGCCUUGCAUGGCCGAGGUCAGCUCGUUUUAUGUAAAGUUCGGUUAAGUCCAGAAACGAGCGAAACGCCUUUUUUUACUAUACUAGUUGCAAUUACGCAAAGUACCAGUAAAAGACUACUGUUGAUAAAACAGAGGAAGUUGGCACUAUCUCAGGUCCUCAUGAGGUUUAUAACUGUGGCUUCGAAACGUAAUACAAAAGCGAUUACAAAGGGUAACCAUGGUUAUCGAAUUUAUGAUACGGAGUGAAUCCGUUAAAAAUCGCUAAACGGAUUGUGCUCUGCAACUCGAGAACAUGAAGAAGGAAUUGCGAGUAAUCGUUUUAAAGAAUUGAAACGGUGAACCUUGUUAUUCGCUGGUUAUAAAUAGCCCGUCAAUGCCAGGUAAUAAGUCUAAUAGGAAAAACUGUUUUGAUGCUUUACUAAAAAUAUUAAAGCCAGCAAAAAGUUUCAUUGUUAGGUUUAAGGCUCGGCAUAAGUCGUAACUGGUAAUCGUAAAGGAAUUUGCGGUUGAAUUAAAUUUUUU
rnacentral:rRNA from 2 species